rnacentral:tRNA from 1 species
GCCUGGGUGGCUCAGUCGGUUGUGCAUCUGACUUCGGCUCAGGUCGUGAUCUCAGUUUGUGGGUUUGAGCCCCACAUCAGGCU